UACGUAGGGACCAAGCGUUGUUCGGAUUUACUGGGCGUAAAGGGCGCGUAGGCGGCAUGACAAGUCACUUGUGAAAUCUCUGGGCUUAACCCAGAACGGCCAAGUGAUACUGUCGCGCUAGAGUGCGGAAGGGGCAAUCGGAAUUCUUGGUGUAGCGGUGAAAUGCGCAGAUAUCAGGAAGAACACCCGUGGCGAAGGCGGCUCUCUGGUACGUGACUGACGCUGAGACGCGAAAGCGUGGGGAGCGAACAGG
rnacentral:rRNA from 1 species